rnacentral:lncRNA from 1 species
ACUAACAAACUGAAUAUGAUUUAGCCAAUGAACAACAAAUUGAAAUGACUUGCAUUCAUUAGACUGAAUGAAAAUGGUCUCUCUUAGUAUUGGGUUUUUAAAAAGCAAGAAAACAGGAGAGUUUAGCACCACUUAGCAGGACAUGAAAGUUCAUAGAAUAAAAAGCUACAGAGAAAGGAAUACACAUUUUAGCCAAAUUAUAGGGUUUUUUCACAUGUGCUUUUAUCAUUCUUUUAAAUUGCUAUCAGUUGCCCUAACAGCUAUGUGAUAAUGGUGACAUUUUCCAUAUCCAUUCAUUUGAAGUAUUAUUAUUAUUAUGUUGUGUCGCAUUUCUCUAACAUACUUUUAAAUAAUGUUCUGGUUGCCUUAAGCGUUCAACCCUAAUCACUGGGAUCGAUUUCAGGUCAUCUGGAAUGACUCAUUGCUCUCUAAUGGCAGUCUGUAUACAGAGCAGAUGAGCGGAGACGUUGUCCUUUAACUGCUAAGAUAAUGAAGUACUGUGGGAUCUGACUUCCGGGCCGGCCAGGGCAGAUUGGAGUAAGUCCGGCCCAGCGCAGGGAACUGCAGUGUGGGGCAGGGCGCCAUGGCAGGUGCCUGUGUCAGCAGUACUGCCGGCCAAGGGGAGAGGUCAAUCUCACACCUCCAGCAGGUGGGACACAGACUUGCAUUAAUGAUGCUUACAGUGAGAUAGCUGCAGUGUCAGGGGGAGAGGAGAGCAUCGAGCCAGGUGUCUCCUCCAGCUCUGAGAUUUACACAGGAACACAACAAAGGGUGGUCCCUUCUUCACUUUGGAAUGUCCAAGUAUCUAGUUCGGGGUGGGCAUUAGGCUAA